rnacentral:rRNA from 1 species
GAGUUUGAUCGUGGCUCAGAACGAACGCUGGCGGCAGGCUUAACACAUGCAAGUCGAACGGUUGUAGCAAUACAGCAGUGGCAGACGGGUGAGUAACACGUGGGAACCUUCCUAGGGGUACGGAACAACUCAGGGAAACUUGAGCUAAUACCGUAUACGUCCGUAAGGAGAAAGAUUUAUCGCCCUUAGACGGGCCCGCGUCGGAUUAGCUAGUUGGUGGGGUAACGGCCUACCAAGGCGACGAUCCGUAGCUGAUCUUAGAGGAUGAUCAGCCACACUGGGACUGAGACACGGCCCAGACUCCUACGGGAGGCAGCAGUGGGGAAUCUUGGACAAUGGGCGCAAGCCUGAUCCAGCCAUGCCGCGUGAGUGAAGAAGGUCUUCGGAUUGUAAAGCUCUUUUACCAGGGACGAUAAUGACGGUACCUGGAGAAUAAGCCCCGGCAAACUUCGUGCCAGCAACCGCUGUAAC